GGAAAUCUGAUAGCUUAACUAUUAGGCUUUCGGGGGAUACUGCCAGACUUGGAACCGGGAGAGGUAAGAGGUACUACAGGGGUAGGAGUGAAAUCUUGUAAUCCCUGUGGGACCACCUGUGGCGAAGGCGUCUUACCAGAACGGGUUCGACGGUGAGGGACGAAAGCUGGGGGCACGAACCGGAUUAGAUACCCGGGUAGUCCCAGCCGUAAACGAUGCUCGCUAGGUGUCAGGCAUGGCGCGACCGUGUCUGGUGCCGCAGGGAAGCCGUGAAGCGAGCCACCUGGGAAGUACGGCCGCAAGGCUGAAACUUAAAGGAAUUGGCGGGGGAGCACAACAACGGGUGGAGCCUGCGGUUUAAUUGGACUCAACGCCGGACAACUCACCGGGGACGACAGCAAUAUGUAGGUCAGGCUGAAGACCUUACCUGAAUCGCUGAGAGGAGGUGCAUGGCCGUCGCCAGUUCGUACUGUGAAGCAUCCUGUUAAGUCAGGCAACGAGCGAGACCC
rnacentral:rRNA from 1 species